rnacentral:rRNA from 1 species
UACGGAGGGUGCAAGCGUUAUCCGGAAUCAUUGGGUUUAAAGGGUCCGCAGGCGGACUAAUAAGUCAGUGGUGAAAUCUCUCGGCUCAACCGAGAAACUGCCAUUGAUACUGUUAUUCUUGAAUUCGAUCGAAGUGGGCGGAAUGUGACAUGUAGCGGUGAAAUGCUUAGAUAUGACACAGAACACCGAUUGCGAAGGCAGCUCGCUAAACUGAUAUUGACGCUGAGGCACGAAAGCGUGGGGAUCAAACAGG